UGGCUGAGUGGUAAAGUGUUUGGCUUCCGAACAGGGGUCCCGGGUUCGAAUCCUGG
rnacentral:tRNA from 1 species